UCAAGAUGUAGUUUAAGAAAAAUUUUAGCUUUGGGAGUUAGAGAUAUCUAUUAGAUCUUUUUGAA
rnacentral:tRNA from 1 species